rnacentral:rRNA from 1 species
GAUGAACGCUGGCGGCGUGCCUAAUACAUGCAAGUCGAGCGAACAGACGAGGAGCUUGCUCCUCUGACGUUAGCGGCGGACGGGUGAGUAACACGUGGAUAACCUACCUAUAAGACUGGGAUAACUUCGGGAAACCGGAGCUAAUACCGGAUAAUAUAUUGAACCGCAUGGUUCAAUAGUGAAAGACGGUUUUGCUGUCACUUAUAGAUGGAUCCGCGCCGCAUUAGCUAGUUGGUAAGGUAACGGCUUACCAAGGCAACGAUGCGUAGCCGACCUGAGAGGGGGAUCGGCCACACGGGAACGGAGACACGGUCCAGACUCCUACGGGAGGCAGCAGUAGGGAAUCGUCCGCAAUGGGCGAAAGCCUGACGGAGCAACGCCGCGUGAGUGAUGAAGGUCUUCGGAUCGUAAAACUCUGUUAUUAGGGAAGAACAAAUGUGUAAGUAACUAUGCACGUCUUGACGGUACCUAAUCAGAAAGCCACGGCUAACUACGUG